AGGACUAACGCUGGCGGCGUGCCUAACACAUGCAAGUCGAACGAGGUAGCAAUACCUAGUGGCAGACGGGUGAGUAACACGUAGUCAACCUUCCCGAUAGUGGGGGAUAACUAGCCGAAAGGUUAGCUAAUACCGCAUACGAUCUUCGAGUGGCAUCAUUUGAAGAUGAAAGGAGCAAUCCGCUUUCGGACGGGACUGCGUCCCAUUAGCUAGAUGGUGGGGUAAUGGCCUACCAUGGCAACGAUGGGUAGCUGGUUUGAGAGAGCGACCAGCCACACUGGGACUGAGAAACGGCCCAGACUCCUACGGAGGCAGCAGUGAGGAAUUUUCCGCAAUGGGCGAAAGCCUGACGGAGCGACGCCGCGUGUGGGAAGAAGGCCUUCGGGUCGUAAACCACUGUCGAAGGGAAAUACUGAUGGUACCCUUGGAGGAAGCCCGGCUAACUACGUGCCAGCAGCCGC
rnacentral:rRNA from 1 species